rnacentral:lncRNA from 1 species
GUGAAAAUGAACAAUCAAUGGCUCUAUAGGCUCUAUACCAGUAAAUUUUAAUGGGAACAGAGGGAAAAUGCCUUUUAAAAAGUUUUGUGUUUUUUUAAGCUGUGACUUUUUAAUUUUUUUUUUUUCAGCAGAGCUUUAACCCAGGUUUUCAGAGAGUAAGAGCAUAUCCUCAAAUACCCUUCCACUUUCUCCUCUCCACUGUAAGACUCUUAUAUAAAUCUGCUGCAAAGGUGACCUACAAAGCUAUAACUUACUGAAAUGAGCCCUCAGAGUCUUGCUCAGGAUCUGGAGCUCACAAUGAAAGAUUAUUGAUGUUUUCAGCAGAAAAGCUGUCAAUUAGAUGUACAGUUUGCCAUAACAGCUCCAGGGUAUAAACCUGAAUUCCUCUGUGAAUUUACUGGAUCUAUUUUGCAGCCACAGGGCCAAGCACACAACUCGCCAUUUGCUUCAGGAGAUCCAGAUGUUCACCUUAUUUGGAUGUGUACCAGGAAUCGUAUUGCAUAGAGACAGAUCAGUAAGAAAGGAUGAAAAUAUACAAAGUCAUCUCAUCACAUGAGGGUUUGUUAUUUUCAUUCAACUUAAAUGUAUUUGAAUAUUGAUAAUUUGUUAUGAAAUUAUAGUUUGCAUUUACCUUACAUUUUUUGGUCCAAUUUAUCUGUAAGGAGGAUAAUUAAGAUAAAGGAUUCUCUGCUAAACUACAGAAGAUCACAUUAGUUUUAGAUGACGCUAGAGAUUGAGAAGCGAAGACAGAAGAAUGAGGAUGGUUAUGAAGAAGAGUCACGAAGAAAUAAGAGAAUAAAGUUAAUGGGGUUGGAGUGGAAGAGCUGUAGAGCACUUUCAUGCCAUGAAAAUAUUUUCACAUUUCACACUCUUCCCGGAUUCUGCAGUGACUAUGGAGGCAAGGCAUCACAAAAGGAAAGACGUCUCCAGAAAGACUGAUUUUGGAAAAUAUAGGCAUUCUGACUUGGAGAGAGUCUCCAAAGACAGUGUUCCAACUUAACCUGGAAAGGUGUGUAAAUGAGAAAUAAAAUUUUGUUGAGAUAAUGUUAUGGAGAUUGUGUGG